rnacentral:rRNA from 1 species
GCAAGUCGACGCGAAAGGGCUUCGGCCUGAGUAGAGUGGCGGACGGGUGAGUAAUGCAUGGGAAUCUGCCUGGCAGAGGGGGAUAACCCGGGGAAACUCGGGCUAAUACCGCAUACGCCCUACGGGGGAAAGGGGGCUUCGGCUCUCGUUGCCAGAUGAGCCCAUGUCCGAUUAGCUAGUUGGCGGGGUAAAGGCCCACCAAGGCGACGAUCGGUAGCUGGUCUGAGAGGAUGACCAGCCACACUGGGACUGAGACACGGCCCAGACUCCUACGGGAGGCAGCAGUGGGGAAUAUUGGACAAUGGGGGAAACCCUGAUCCAGCAAUGCCGCGUGGGUGAAGACGGCCUGCGGGUUGUAAAGCCCUUUCGGUGGGAAAGAAA